rnacentral:lncRNA from 1 species
GAUUAUGAGGGUGCAACUGAGGCAAAUGCAUGGAGGCUUCUCGCAGAGGUCUCACUCUCUGAAGCAAGGUUCCAAGAAGUGACUGCUCUCAUCUUUGAAGCCAUUAGUCUCAGUGUUGAAGAGAACGAGGACGGCACUGAUGGUUCUCCUGAGGAUCUAGAUGUCACACCUCCACAGCCCAUGGAGGAGAUUGAUGGUCUCAACACCCACAGUACCAUGGUUCCCGCCUAGGGUUUUCACGGCCCAGCUCUGGUGUUCAUCGCAUGUUAUUAUUUCAUGAGUUUCCAUCUCUAGCUGCCCUUGUGAAAUAUCACUUAAAUAAGGCAAAACCAUGUUCAAUGUAUUUGAUGAAAUCUGGUCUGUUCCUCUGUGAAUUGAACCUUGUGUAUUAUUGCUUUUUUCUGGUAUAAGCCAUGUUCUAUGUAUAUGUAAUGUGGAGUUGGUGUGUG